rnacentral:rRNA from 1 species
UGAGUAACACGUGAAUAAUCUACCUCCCGAUGGGGAAUAACUGAGAGAAAUCUUAGCUAAUACCGCAUAACACUUACGAGUCAAAGCAGCAAUGCGCUUGGAGAGGAGUUCGCGGCCGAUUAGCUAGUUGGCGGGGCAAUGGCCCACCAAGGCAAUGAUCGGUAUCCGGCCUGAGAGGGCGCACGGACACACUGGAACUGAAACACGGUCCAG